AGACUAUGACCAACAUGCCCAUUUUAUUCACUGGUACACAGCUGACAACCAGCACACUGCAUGGCAUAUUUUAGCAUGUUCAGUUCCUACUAGUGGGAUUGUUGGAUCAAAUGAGACAAAGUGUUGCUUCAGACUGGAGUGCAGGGGCCCUAUCAUUACUCACCAUAGUCUCUCGAAAUCCUGGGCUCAGGUGAUCCUCCAACUUCAGCCAUCUGAGCAG